rnacentral:tRNA from 1 species
CCUUCGAUAGCUCAGUUGGUAGAGCGGAGGACUGUAGAUCCUUAGGUCGCUGGUUCGAAUCCGGCUUGAACGA